CUACGGGAGGCUGCAGUGAGGAAUUUUGCGCAAUGGGGGCAACCCUGACGCAGCAACGCCGCGAGUGAAGAAGGCCUUUGGGUCGUAAAGCUCUGUCAACUGGGAAGAAAUUAGCGUCAAUUAAUAGUUGUUGUUAUUGACGGUACCAGUGGAGGAAGCGCCGGCUAACUCCGUGCCAGCAGCCGCGGUAACACGGGGGGCGCAAGCGUUAUUCGGAAUUAUUGGGCGUAAAGGGCGCGCAGGGGGUCUUGUCAGUCAGGUGUGAAAGCCCGGGGCUCAACCCUGGAAGUGCACUUGAAACAGCAAGACUUGAGUACGGGAGAGGAAAGCGGAAUUCCUGGUGUAGAGGUGAAAUUCGUAGAUAUCAGGAGGAACACCGAUGGCGAAGGCAGCUUUCUGGACCGAUACUGACGCUGAGGCGCGAAGGCGUGGGUAGCGAACGGGAUUAGAUACCCUAGUAGUC
rnacentral:rRNA from 1 species